ACUCGCUAAACUCCUCCAUGUGGAUUCUGAUAUCCUUUCCCAGUUUGUUGUCUCAUCCACAUGUCCCAUUAACCUCUUGGGUGCUGAUGUCCUAUCCCGCCUCCAAGCAUCCAUCACCCUCACUGCAGACGGCCAGGUUCAAGUAAAUACACCUUUGUCACGAAAAGACACUACAGUUCUUUGUUCCCUUCCCAUUUUACUUGGAGAUGACAUCCCCACGACAGAAAAAUGUUCUCUGGACCUCCUUUGUUAUCUUGCAGAUCAGGGGUGUAAGGCAUCUCUUGUCAAACUUCAAUUUUGCCAGGCCACAGUAAUCUUUCUAGGCCAUUGCCUGUCCCAUGGCACUAGACACCUCACCCGUGAUCGUGUCGGAGCGGUUUUGGCCAUUCCGCCUCCAAAAACUCCAAAAUCCCUCCACGCCUUUCUAGGCCUCAUUUCUUACUGCCGAGCAUGGAUCCCAGAGGCCUCUCUACUCAUGCAACCUUUGUACGAUGCUCUUAAAUCAGACCCG